UGGCUCAGUCGGUAGAGUGCCUGCAUGGCAAGCAGGAGAACCUGAGUUCAGGUCCUCAG
rnacentral:tRNA from 1 species